rnacentral:rRNA from 1 species
CCUACGGGUGGCAGCAGUGGGGAAUAUUGCACAAUGGGGGAAACCCUGAUGCAGCAACGCCGCGUGAGUGAUGACGUCCUUCGGGUUGUAAAGCUCUGUCUUCAGGGACGAUACUGACGGUACCUGAGGAGGAAGCCCCGGCUAACUACGUGCCAGCAGCCGCGGUAAUACGUAGGUGGCGAGCGUUGUCCGGAUUUACUGGGCGUAAAGGGAGCUUAGGCGGACUUUUAAGUGAGAUGUGAAAUACUCGGGCUCAACUUGAGUGCUGCAUUUUAAACUGGAAGUCGAGAGGGGAGGAGAGGAAAAGGGAAUUCCGAGUGGAGCGGGGAAAGGGGGAGAGAGUAGGAAGAAAACCAGGGGCGAAGGCGGUGCGCUGGACUGUAACUGACGCGGAGGCUCGAAAGCGUGGGGAGCAAACAGGAUUAGAUACCCGUGUAGUC